AGAGAUUAACCAAAGGCCUGGAGAAAGUGAAGGCCAGAGCUCAUUCAAGAAAAGGCAAUUAAUCCAGGAUGACAUGAAGAGGAAGAAGUUUGAACUUACUUUAUAUGUCAUGGGAAAUGACUUGGUCAAAUCUGUGUUUCCGAAGGUGAUGUUUGUGGCUAUCCAGAGGAUGGAUUGAAGAGAAGAGUCUGGCAGAGGAAAAACAAGUCACAGGAAUUAGCAAGCAAUGAGAGCCUCCACCGAGGCAGUGCUAACAGAGAACAAAUCAACACCCCUUUGGAAUGUACAAAAGACUGGAAUAGAGAAACUGGCCUUCAGCCAGUAGACACCUUUUACGUGUACACAGAUCAUGGAAGAAUGGAUCCUCCAUGUAAACACAAGGUUUGGCAGAAUUUAAAAGUGACUCUAAAAGACCAUUGAAUUAGCAUAAUCACUCAACAGUUACAGAAUUAAGACAAAGGCUCACUGCUUUUUGGGUUCUUGCAAACUCCAGGUUUAUAGGUAGAGCUACCAAUAGUAUUUCAUCUACAUUUUAUAGAGUUUAUUUGAAAAGCUUCAACAAAGAAUCCAUAUUCAACUAUCAAAUCAAAUGGCAGUCAACCCAGAGAAAGAAGAUCCGGGCAGCUGUGGAUGUCUCCCAAACCAGACUAUCACACAGUUGUAGAACUGCUGGAAGGACGAAAGCCAGAGGCUGAGGAUGCCUGAGCAGAAAUAUAGAAGGAUCUGAAACCUGGGGCCGUCAUGAAGUGUGGCUAUACUUCCAGCCUGGUCAGCAGACCUCCAGAAGUAAUGGGACCUACACCACAUCUUGAGACAGUCACAUUCUUCUGGUUUUAUACAUGGGGGCUGCAGUGCUAUCAUUGACCACAGGAAAAACGGAAGACCCAAUUGUACCAAAGCAUCGGCAUGUCCU